rnacentral:lncRNA from 1 species
AGACUCCCUUUGGAGGAAAAUUAUUGGCAAAGCUCUACAGGGGAAAAACUCAUAAGAGACUUUUUAGGGUAACCUCUGCUUGGGGAGCAAUGACGAAAAUAUUGAGGAAUGUUAUUAACCAUAAAGUUGAAGAAUGACUUGCCGGGAAAUAAUUCUACGAGCACGUGCAGGGUAAUAACUCCAUUGAAUUAAAUGAGGAAAGUCCGGGAUACAUAUGAAUGACCCUAAAUCCUGAUAUUUUAUGUUUGAUGUUUUGUAUGACAUGGGUGGAAGUACCAUGCAUGGAAUGAUGCAUGAGAUGUAUGCAGUAUGCAAUUGCUGGGGAUAUUUAGCUGGUAAGUCUGUAUCUCUCCCUCCCUCUAUAAAAAUUAAACUAGUUGCUUCUUCACUUCCUCAAUCAAACCCUAUAUACACAACUGUUGAU